rnacentral:lncRNA from 10 species
CCCCAGUGCUAUGGUGCACUGAGCUGGGUUACUAGGGCCACUUAGGAAAAGGGAACCCAGAAGCCUAGCAUGCGGCAAAAGGAAUCAAGAAAAACUUUUUUUUAAGCUACUUGUAGCUUUUCACAAUUGAGUAAGGUAUACUCCUGUAAACAAAAUUUGGAGCACAUUCGUCUCUCUCUACCUGAUUUCUCCAGAAUUUGAAAACUAGUUGACAACUUUGUGCCCUGUCUUCCAGUUUAACAUGGAGCUUUCAGUCUGUAAUGCAGAGGAUCCUCUAGGGUAUAACUCCACAAGGCAGAAGACAAGUUUACUGUGGACAAAAAAAUGGGCUAGAAUGUCUUCAGCUUCUCAGGCCCUUAAUAGGGCUGAUGAUGGAUGACUCUACUGGAGAAAAGGAAGACAAAGAGGUUUCAGAUCAUCAAUAAAGCAGCUGACUCUCAAGAAAUGGCUGGAAAUCAUAUUUAAAGUCGAUCUUAAAUGAAUUUGAAAAAAAUGCACAUAAAGAUCGUUACCUGCCUCGUUUGGACAUAUCAGACCUAUGAAUAUUUAUGUAGAAACAAGAGCUUAUAAUUAUCACAAAAAGAAAAUGAACACUACUUUUCCCAUUUAGAAAAAUAUGAAAGGCAAAUUUUAAAUGAAAACUCUCUUGGGACAUUUGAUAUGUCAUGAACUAUCAAGACCAUGACUAUUUUUU